GCACCUGGGCUUGACAAAUUCCCAAAUGGCCUAGCGCCCCUUCUCUCUCCCGUGGAAGCAAUUCCCCAUUUCUCCACCCAGCUAGGGUUUCAUCUCGGCGAUUAGGAUGGCGAUUUCGUUGGCAGAGGGCGCGAGCGCGCGAGAACGCGUUCUGCUCGUCGGUGGAGGGAGAGAGCGCGGGGGAGGAAGGCUCGCUCGUCGGCGAAGGGCGAGCCGCGCGGUAGUGCGGCGAGCUCUACGUCGGGAAGCGAGGCUACCGGUCGGGCGGCGAGCUCUGCGGCGGAGAGCCAGAAGCGCGCGACGGCGGAGAUAUAGUCGUGCGCGAUGACAGGGUGCGAGGUGACGAAGGUCUGCGAAGGAUUUUGCCGACGUCGAGUUACAAAGGUAUUCCCCAGUGCGAAUCUUCCUCAAUCACGUGUUAUUCCCGUGUUGAGAUGCAAUUCACGCCCAUAUACGCACGAAUUCCAUGGGGAUUUAUCUGGCGGUAAUUAAUUCCCGUUCGUUUUUGUGUGUCCAUGCCCCCUAGCGCCGAUUCAAACCAUAGGGAAGUAGAUCUCGUGUAAAUGUUCGUGGUGCCCAUGAUGUGUAUGAUUUCAUCUUGCGUUAGCAGUUUCCCCUUGGCUGAAUUAGUUGAGUGGUGCACAUUGGAAAAGAAUGUGCAGCUUGUGAACGUCAUACUGGAGUUCUUGAUGAGCAUCGGGUAUGGUGCGAACAAGAUAGCCACACACGUAAUCCAUGUUUUGCAGAACACUCAGAAAAUGAUGCUAGAGCGAUUUGACUACCUCCUCGAAAGAGGGGCGGAGUACAAGAUGUUGUGUCAGAUAGUGAGUGUGUUCCCAAAGAUACUGAUCCAUGGCAAAGAUAUGCUCAAUGAGAAGUUGAGCUAUACAUCACUCUGGAGCUGGAGCUCGGAUACUCUUUCGAGUAUCUUGAUUGCUUCCCAGCACUAUUAUGCUUUGAUUUGGAGAACCGGGUCAAGCGUAGGAUGCAAUGCUUCGGUGGAUCCACCAUAAGAGAUGGUCUUUUUGUUGGGAUCAAAAGGACCGAAGAAUUUGUAUCUUCGAAGUUGCCAUGUGGUUUUUUCCUAUGAGUGUCAAAACGCAUCCCAAUAAACGAUUCAUGUGUACUGGAUGCAACUUCCUCAUUCAUGCCAGCUUCGUCAGGAACUCUUUCUUUCAAGUUAGGGUAUGUUGUAGAUUUUAUGUGUAAUGUAGUUCUGGGAUUGCUUUGGUUGACUGUAGUGUGUGGUGGCCUAUGGUGACGCGCCCCCUGCCACUGUUCAUCGUAACCACCGACCACUGCUCCUUGGUCAUGUAUAUUUGGCUUUGGAGAUUUGCCAACCAUCUCUUGUGCGGCAGCUUGAGUGCAAAACUGCGGCUCCAUGGCUUUCAUGCCAAAAUCUUCAGCUGAGGGAGCAUUGAGAUCCAAUCCUAACAUAUUUAAAAAUGAGAAUGUUCACUAGAAUUUAUUUUUAAUAUUCUAGUAAUGACCAUGGAGAAGCUUGUUGCUGCAUCUAACUAAGUUGUGUACUGAUCAUGGGUUAGUUGUUUCCUUAUCAUGCUUAAGUUGUGUACUGAACACACAUUAGCAAAAUGCAACCCACAUCAACUACUUCUUUUGUAGCAAGAUAGUUAUGUUGUAUAUUGGUUUCAUUGAGUUGUUUUUGUUCUUUUCAACUUGGUUUACUUUCGAGUUACUACUAGAAACCCACAAGUAGUAUAAUGAAUUAAUUGACAUGCCCCGAAGUAGUAUACCGAUUUAACUGAGUUCUUUCUUGUCAUCCGGCUAAGUUGCUUUCUUACACUAGAUAAGUUGUUUUACACAACCUAACUAACUUUAUUUCCACCAUGCAUUUAAUUUUUGGUUAAACAACCAAUGGCGUUCCUUAGCUUAGUAAGGAAUUUAAUUUGAAACUUGCUUUUCUAGCAAACAAACUUGAAAUCUGGUAACACAAAAAUGACAAAAGAGACGAACAAGCGUUCCCGCUUGCGUUUACCAGAAGCUGAGGCGUAGCAGGGAGCCUUCCAUGGCCUCGUCCAAAAACUUCCCAGCAGAUAUGUGUUUAAGGAUGAGAGACACAUACAUGAAACUCUCAACUAUUGCGAGAUGGAAAAAUGUAGCCAUUGAAUUUAUGAAUCAAGAGUAUGAACUACAGAGUGGAUCAGUUCCGGAUAUUACUCACAACUAACUAUUACAGAUACUUUUAUGGGGGUAGUUUUAGUUCUUUUGAUUCCUAUUAAGCUAUAUGGAUAAGUUGUCUAGCGAUUUAAUUAAAUUGGUUUAUAUCUAUAAUUAAGUUGUGUACUGAAAUAAGUUAAGUUGAUUCCUCGAGCAUUCUUAAGUUGUUGGUAUCCGUAAAAUUUAUUAGCUGUUUCUUUUAAGCAGCAUGCAUAAGUUGUCUAGAGAUUUAAUUAAGUUAUUUUAUCACUAUGCUCAAGUUGAGUAUACUGAAAUAAAUUAAGUUGAUUCCUAGAGUAUGCUCAAGUUGUUGGGUGUCGGUACAAUCUAUUUAGGUGUUCCUUUUAAGCAACAUGCAUAAGUUGUCUACUGAUUUUAUUUCUUGCUUUGUCAACAUGCUUAAGUUGAGUAUACUGAAAUUAAUCAAGUUGAUUCCUCCAGCAUGCUUAAGUUUGUGGGUAUUGGCGCAAUCUCUGUAGGUGUUCCUUUUGAGCAACAAGCAUAAGUUAUUCACUGGUUUAGUCAGUUGCCUUGUCAACAUGCUUAAGUUGAAACGGAAAAUUAAUUAAGUUCUAUUUUCAGUAUGCUUAAGUUGUAUGUGUAUCUACAAUCUAUCUUGGUUUUCAUUUUCGAGCAACAUGCAUAAGUUGGUUACUGGUCUAAUUAAGUUGCCUUGUCAACAUGCUUAAGGUACUUAUUUGUGAUAUUGCUAAGAUGUACCAGGAAGCGGUGGAUGCUGGACAGCGUACCUAGUACCAUCUCGGGCGAGGUAGUGGUGGAGGUCAUGGCGCCUGGUGGCGCCCCCGAUGCCUAGCGCGAGCGGAAGCCCGCCGUUUGUUGCUGGCCAAGGAACAGAAUAUGUAUUUUUUUGUGAUCCACUCGCAAUUUUCAGUCAAAUCGAGAUAUCCAUGGAGUUCUGAAGGAAGAAGAAGACCUGGAAUAGUAGUUUGUUGUGCAGAAAGGAAGAAGAGAUGGAGUAGUUUGCCAAGCACAUCUCACGCCCUGCACUGUGUUGUUUUGUACCUUACGUGUAACAUCUCUUUUCUUGGUUGGGUGCUGAAUCGGUCAAACCAGCAUCCGGAUGCUGGGUUGGACAAACAAGCAUCCGGAUGCUGAGAUGGACAAACCAGUACCGGAUGCUGGCUAGCCGGGUCCA